rnacentral:misc_RNA from 1 species
GUGAACACAAAUUUCAUUAAAUUGCUCAAUAAAUGGAAAAUCGCAACAGAAAGAUUCUAUUUACUGUACAACUACUAAAUGGCCUCCUCUAAAACCCCCAUUCUUAUCCCCCCACGCACCUUCUCCGUCGUCCUCCCUCUUCGGAACCGUCACGAUGAGUUUCCCGCCGUCGAACGCAGCGGUUGCAAGCUCCGGGAGAGUCGUCUCCGGCAGUCGAAAUCUCCACAUGUCGAUCUCCAGUUCAUCUAACGUCGAUUCCAGAUCCCCAAUUUGUCUAACCACAACUUUGAUAACCCCAGGAUGGAUUUGAACCGUAUGCGCCCUAAAUUCCUCGCUAAUUCCAUCAGUUUCCGCUACGAAUCGGAAGCAAUUAGAGUUUUCGACAACCGAAACAUCGGCAUCGGACCUAAAUGGAAGCUCCAAAACUCGGCUGAAAACAUGGGGUAAUCGCCGUAGUUUCUUAGGGUUUAAACCUAGAAGCGAUUGAGCACGAGAGAGCGAGUUGCGACCAUUUGAAGUGUAUUGGACAGUGAUAUUCUG